rnacentral:pre_miRNA from 1 species
ACGAAGGUUAUGGGUGAGUGACACCAUCUUUUAUACUAGGUUAUUCACCCAUAACCUAGUAUAAAAGAUGGUGUCACUCACCCAUAACCUAG